rnacentral:rRNA from 1 species
CCUACGGGUGGCAGCAGUGGGGAAUAUUGGUCAAUGGGCGCAAGUCUGACCCAGCAACGCCGCGUGAAGGAUGACGGCUCUCCGGUUUUAAACUUCCUUUUACAUGGAAGUGAAGAAGACGGUACCUGUCGCAUAAUCUACGGCUAACUACGUGCCAGCAGCCGCGGUAAUACGGAGGUGGCAAGCGUUGUCCGGAUUUACUGGGUGUAAAGGGAGUGUAGCCGGGUUGACAAGUCAGAUGUGAAAUCUUGCGGCUUAACCGCAGAAUUGCAUUUGAAACUGUUGAUUUUGAGUACUGGCGGGGAGGACGGAAUUCCUGGUGUAGCGGUGAAAUGCGUAGAUAUUAGGAAGAACACCAGUGGCGAAGGC